GUGAGGAAUAUUGGACAAUGGAGGAAACUCUGAUCCAGCCAUGUCGCGUGAGUGAUGAAGGCCUUCGGGUUGUAAAGCUCUUUCGGGUGUGAAAAUGAUGAUGGUAACACCAGAAGAAGCCCCGGCUAACUCCGUGCCAGCAGCCGCGGUAAUACGGAGGGGGCGAGCGUUGUUCGGAAUCACUGGGCGUAAAGCGUGCGUAGGCGGUUAUACAAGUCAGGAGUGAAAUCCCAGGGCUCAACCUUGGAAUUGCUUUUGAGACUGUAUGACUAGAGAUCUAGAGAGGUUGGGGGAAUUCCGAGUGUAGAGGUGAAAUUCGCAGAUAUUCGGAGGAACACCAGUGGCGUAGGCGCCCAACUGGCUAGAUACUGACGCUGAGGCACGAAAGCGUGGGGAGCAAACAGGAUUAGAUACCCUGGUAGUCC
rnacentral:rRNA from 1 species